rnacentral:tRNA from 1 species
UUUAAUAUGGCAGAUUAAGUGCAAUGGUGUUAAGUACCAUUUAUGAAAUUAUUUUAAAUUUCUAUUAAAA